GGGGAGGCGAUCUGGCUGCGACAUCUGGUCACACCCAUUGGUCGCCAGGUGAUUCGCUGAUCUGGCCUGGCUAGGCGGGGUGCCCUCCUCCCUCACCGCCUCCAUGUGUCCUCCGGAAGCUGGCGCGCUUCGGUCGAAGGGGGAAGGACGGACCUUCCCGCUAGGAGGAGACCGUCUUCGAGUUCGGUCAAGGGUAAUAUUAGUAGCUGCGCUCCCUGCUAGAACUCCAAACAAUCCUCAAGGUCCUUGAUGGGAUUUUAAUUGUGUUUCUAUUAAGCUGUGAGAUUUGGUCUGUCAAGGGAAUCGUAUUUCUUC
rnacentral:snRNA from 1 species